GAUAUGUUAGGGUUAACUAAUAGACCUGGAAAACCGCUGGUGUGCUGGCAUGGUAUCAGGAAGUAGGCACAGGCAUGCACUAUUCCUUCACUUAAUAGAUAAAGUGUUAUCCCUUUCCCCUCCCUUCUCCUUGUUAAGAAUUGGUAAGUGUUGCAGCUGCAUAAGAAAUGUGGGGAUCUAAAGAACACCUUUUGGGUAAAGAAGUGUUAUCUCCUCCUCCCUUCCUUUCCCAGCUACAUAAGCAAGCCCUGGGUCAUGUCCCAUUCCUCCUGCCCCUGAGAACUGCAGAUUAAGGGAAUUUGUAGCAACAAAUUACUGCAAAGAAAUGUAUUUCCAAGGAUCCCAGGGGAGAGUCAUGCCUGACCACCAGUCUCACCAUGGAUUCAAUGAAUACUGUGGGCAAGCUGGCACCAGUGGAAGAACAACCCAGAACACCAUGGGUCUACUGUCGCAAUGAAGAUUGUGUUGUGUGUUUUGUGUUGCUUGUCUUGUUAUUACUGUUAUUUUGGUGAAUAUUGUACAAGGAAAAUUAAUGCAUAUAGCAGCAAAGAUUAGUGCAUGGUAUAACCCGCCGGAAAAGCACGGUCUGGCC